rnacentral:rRNA from 1 species
UACGGGGGGGGCAAGCGUUGUUCGGAAUUACUGGGCGUAAAGGGCUCGUAGGCGGCCAACUAAGUCAGACGUGAAAUCCCUCGGCUUAACCGGGGAACUGCGUCUGAUACUGGAUGGCUUGAGUUUGGGAGAGGGAUGCGGAAUUCCAGGUGUAGCGGUGAAAUGCGUAGAUAUCUGGAGGAACACCGGUGGCGUAGGCGGCAUCCUGGACCAACACUGACGCUGAGGAGCGAAAGCCAGGGGAGCAAACGGG